CCAGGCUGAAGACUUUGCCGGAUUAGCUGAGAGGUGGUGCAUGGCCGUCGUCAGUUCGUACUGUGAAGCAUCCUGUUAAGUCAGGCAACGAGCGAGACCCACGCCCACAGUUGCCAGCGUACUCUCUGGAGUGACGGGUACACUGUGAGGACCGCCGCUGCUAAAGCGGAGGAAGGAAUGGGCAACGGUAGGUCAGUAUGCCCCGAAUAUCCCGGGCUACACGCGAGCUACAAUGGUUGGUACAAUGGGUAUCUACCCCGAAAGGGGACGGGAAUCUCCUAAAACCAAUCUUAGUUCGGAUUGAGGGCUGCAACUCGCCCUCAUGAAGCUGGAAUCCGUAGUAAUCGCGUUUCAACAGAACGCGGUGAAUACGUCCCUGCUCCUU
rnacentral:rRNA from 1 species